CCUACGGGUGGCAGCAGUAGGGAAUCUUCCACAAUGGACGAAAGUCUGAUGGAGCAACGCCGCGUGAGUGAAGAAGGUUUUCGGAUCGUAAAGCUCUGUUGGUAGAGAAGAAAGAUGGAGGUAGUAACUGGCCUUUCUUUGACGGUAUUUAAUUAGAAAGUCACGGCUAACUACGUGCCAGCAGCCGCGGUAAUACGUAGGUGGCAAGCGUUGUCCGGAUUUAUUGGGCGUAAAGCGAGUGCAGGCGGUUCAAUAAGUCUGAUGUGAAAGCCUUCGGCUCAACCGGGGAAUGGCAUCAGAAACUGGUGAACUUGAGUGCAGAAGAGGAGAGUGGAAUUCCAUGUGUAGCGGUGAAAUGCGUAGAUAUAUGGAGGAACACCAGUGGCGAAGGCGGCUCUCUGGUCUGUAACUGACGCUGAGGCUCGAAAGCAUGGGGAGCAAACAGGAUUAGAUACCCGAGUAGUC
rnacentral:rRNA from 1 species